ACAACGACUACAUUAGAUCCCCGGUAGUCCUAGCCGUAAACGACACUCGCUAGGUGUCGGCCACGGUGCGACCGUUGUCGGUGCCGUAGGGAAGCCGUGAAGCGAGCCACCUGGGAAGUACGGCCGCAAGGCUGAAACUUAAAGGAAUUGGCGGGGGAGCACAACAACGGGUGGAGCUUGCGGUUUAAUUGGAUUCAACGCCGGAAAUCUUACCGGGACCGACAGCAACAUGAAGGCCAAGCUGAAGACUUUGCCGGAUUAGCUG
rnacentral:rRNA from 1 species